CGUAGGGGACGAGCGUUGUCCGGAUUCAUUGGGCGUAAAGCGCGCGUAGGCGGCUCGGAAAGUCGGGCGUGAAAUGCCGGGGCUCAACCCCGGGACUGCGUCCGAUACUUCCGAGCUGGAGGUAGGUAGGGGAGAUCGGAAUUCCUGGUGUAGCGGUGAAAUGCGCAGAUAUCAGGAGGAACACCGGUGGCGAAGGCGGAUCUCUGGGCCUUACCUGACGCUGAGGCGCGAAAGCUAGGGGAGCAAAACAGGAUUAGAUACCCUGGUAGUCCUAGCCGUAAACGUUGGGUGCUAGGUGUGGGCGGACAUCGACCCCGUCCGUGCCGAAGCUAACGCAUUAAGCACCCCGCCUGGGGAUACGGCCGCAAGGCA
rnacentral:rRNA from 1 species